rnacentral:rRNA from 1 species
GACCUACGGGGGGCUGCAGUGAGGAAUAUUGGUCAAUGGUCGAGAGACUGAACCAGCCAUGCCGCGUGCAGGAAGAAGGCCUUAUGGGUUAUAAACUGCUUUUGUACGGGAGAAAAAAGACAGUCGUGCAUUGUCAUUGAUAGUACCGUAAGAAUAAGGAUCGGCUAACUCCGUGCCAGCAGCCGCGGUAAUACGGAGGAUCCAAGCGUUAUCCGGAUUUAUUGGGUUUAAAGGGUGCGUAGGCGGAUUAUUAAGUCAGUGUUGAAAGGCUAAAGCUUAACUUUAGAAGUGGCAUUGAUACUGGUAGUCUUGAGUACAGAUGAAGUGGGCGGAAUGUGUCAUGUAGCGGUGAAAUGCAUAGAUAUGACACAGAACACCGAUUGCGAAGGCAGCUCACUAAGUUGUAACUGACGCUGAGGCACGAAAGCGUGGGGAUCAAACAGGAUUAGAUACCCUUGUAGUCUAA